rnacentral:rRNA from 1 species
UACAGAGGUCCCAAGCGUUGUUCGGAUUCACUGGGCGUAAAGCGCGCGUAGGUGGCCCCGUAAGUCCGCUGUGAAAGUCAAAGGCUCAACCUUUGAAAGCCGGUGGAUACUGUGGGACUAGAGUACGGAAGAGGCGAGUGGAAUUCCUGGUGUAGCGGUGGAAUGCGCAGAUAUCAGGAGGAACACCAAUAGCGAAGGCAGCUCGCUGGGACGUUACUGACACUGAGGCGCGAAAGCGUGGGGAGCGAAACAGG